rnacentral:rRNA from 1 species
GGGACACGUGGUAUCCUGUCUGAAUAUGGGGGGACCAUCCUCCAAGGCUAAAUACUCCUGACUGACCGAUAGUGAACCAGUACCGUGAGGGAAAGGCGAAAAGAACCCCGGCGAGGGGAGUGAAAAAGAACCUGAAACCGUGUACGUACAAGCAGUGGGAGCACCCUUCGGGGUGUGACUGCGUACCUUUUGUAUAAUGGGUCAGCGACUUAUAUUCUGUAGCAAGGUUAACCGUAUAGGGGAGCCGGAGGGAAACCGAGUCUUAAUUGGGCGUUAAGUUGCAGGGUAUAGACCCGAAACCCGGUGAUCUAGCCAUGGGCAGGUUGAAGGUUGGGUAACACUAACUGGAGGACCGAACCGACUAAUGUUGAAAAAUUAGCGGAUGACCUGUGGCUGGGGGUGAAAGGCCAAUCAAACCGGGAGAUAGCUGGUUCUCCCCGAAAGCUAUUUAGGUAGCGCCUCGUGAAUUCAUCUCCGGGGGUAGAGCACUGUUUCGGCUAGGGGGCCAUCCCGGCUUACCAACCCGAUGCAAACUGCGAAUACCGGAGAAUGUUAUCACGGGAGACACACGGCGGGUGCUAACGUCCGUCGUGAAGAGGGAAACAACCCAGACCGCCAGCUAAGGUCCCAAAGUCAUGGUUAAGUGGGAAACGAUGUGGGAAGGCCCAGACAGCCAGGAUGUUGGCUUAGAAGCAGCCAUCAUUUAAAGAAAGCGUAAUAGCUCACUGGUCGAGUCGGCCUGCGCGGAAGAUGUAACGGGGCUAAACCAUGCA